CUGGAGGUAUCAGAAGUGCGAAUGCUGACAUAAGUAACGAUAAAGCGGGUGAAAAGCCCGCUCGCCGGAAGACCAAGGGUUCCUGUCCAACGUUAAUCGGGGCAGGGUGAGUCGACCCCUAAGGCGAGGCCGAAAGGCGUAGUCGAUGGGAAACAGGUUAAUAUUCCUGUACUUGGUGUUACUGCGAAGGGGGGACGGAGAAGGCUAUGUUGGCCGGGCGACGGUUGUCCCGGUUUAAGCGUGUAGGCUGGUUUUCCAGGCAAAUCCGGAAAAUCAAGGCUGAGGCGUGAUGACGAGGCACUACGGUGCUGAAGCAACAAAUGCCCUGCUUCCAGGAAAAGCCUCUAAGCAUCAGGUAACAUCAAAUCGUACCCCAAACCGACACAGGUGGUCAGGUAGAGAAUACCAAGGCGCUUGAGAGAACUCGGGUGAAGGAACUAGGCAAAAUGGUGCCGUAACUUCGGGAGAAGGCACGCUGAUAUGUAGGUGAAGUCCCUCGCGGAUGGAGCUGAAAUCAGUCGAAGAUACCAGCUGGCUGCAACUGUUUAUUAAAAACACAGCACUGUGCAAACACGAAAGUGGACGUAUACGGUGUGACGCCUGCCCGGUGCC
rnacentral:rRNA from 1 species